rnacentral:rRNA from 1 species
UCUGCCCUUCACUCUGGGACAAGCCCUGGAAACGGGGUCUAAUACCGGAUAACACUCUGUCCCGCAUGGGACGGGGUUAAAAGCUCCGGCGGUGAAGGAUGAGCCCGCGGCCUAUCAGCUUGUUGGUGGGGUAAUGGCCUACCAAGGCGACGACGGGUAGCCGGCCUGAGAGGGCGACCGGCCACACUGGGACUGAGACACGGCCCAGACUCCUACGGGAGGCAGCAGUGGGGAAUAUUGCACAAUGGGCGAAAGCCUGAUGCAGCGACGCCGCGUGAGGGAUGACGGCCUUCGGGUUGUAAACCUCUUUCAGCAGGGAAGAAGCGAAAGUGACGGUACCUGCAGAAGAAGCGCCGGCUAACUACGUGCCAGCAGCCGCGGUAAUACGUAGGGCGCAAGCGUUGUCCGGAAUUAUUGGGCGUAAAGAGCUCGUAGGCGGCUUGUCACGUCGGAUGUGAAAGCCCGGGGCUUAACCCCGGGUCUGCAUUCGAUACGGGCUAGCUAGAGUGUGGUAGGGGAGAUCGGAAUUCCUGGUGUAGCGGUGAAAUGCGCAGAUAUCAGGAGGAACACCGGUGGC